rnacentral:sRNA from 1 species
AGCUGAUGCACACGAUGGUCUCCUCCCAGUUUCCAUCGCACCAGCUGUUCCCCUCUGGAGGUUUUGACCUUCACACCUUAAUGGGCCUCGGUUUUCCGAUGGCCCUUUCUU